GCCUCCUUCUCAGGGGAGUCCCCUGUCUCCUCCUUGGUGGAGACGGUGUGCUCUGUUGCUUCCAAGAAGAGCUCCAGCUCUCUAAUUCUUUGGAGCGUAGCUACACGUUCCUCCAGUUGCUGGACUUUGUCUUCUAAGAGGGCAAUCAACAUGCAAUUGCUGCAGGUAAAGUUGCCUGCAACCUUUGGCAAGAUGGCAAACAUUGCGCAGGAACCGCAGGCGACUGCAGCUGUUCCCUCCCCCUCCAUCUUGAGAACGUGUCGUUGGGGGUGGCUACAGCAGUCCUCCAUCAUAAAAAGCGUGAAGACAGGACAAAUAACCCCCCCAAAAAAAAAACCUAGGUCUCCCCCAACAAACGUUUGAGACUAGCUCCCCUAAAUCUAAAAGAUGGAUCAAACUGCACGCGCCGCUGCCCUGCAAGCUCUGAUAAGCUCCUCCCACAGCUAAUCACCUGCCUCAACAGAAACCCUGCCCCCUCUGACCUUUGCAUAGGGAGAGCAGCUAAUCAGCCACAAAGAAACACACACACAAGAAAACCCUUUUUGCUCCUUCUUCAGCUGCUGCCCUGCAAGCUCUCAAUCAUCAUCAUAAACUUUCUUGCACUAGCCAAAGGCCAUUGAAUCAUCCAAAAACAUGAACAAUCGCUACAUAUACAAUAAAGCCUCUGUUAAAUCUGCUUAAAUUCUUUGUUACAUAGGAUAAGAGGUAAUUCUCAUACAAAAUACAGUGGUACCUCGGGUUAAUAACUUAAUUCGUUCUGGAGGUCUUUUCUUAACCUGAAACUGUUCUUAACCUGAAGCACCACUUUAUCUAAUGGGGCCUCCUGCUGCCACUGCACCGCUGCUGCACAAUUUCUGUUUUCACCCUGAAGCAAAGUUCUUAACCCGAGGUACUAUUUCUGGGUUAGCGAAGUCUGUAACCUGAAGCGUAUGUAACCCGAGGUACCACUGUAUACAAAUUAAAUCUCCAAAAACUAAAUUUGCUAGUUUAUCAAAUUAUUUUGCCAUAAUCUUCCUAGCUGCCAAUUUCCAGGGCAUAGGGAGCUACUUUCUAAAUUAGAGAGUUAUCAGCGUCACUCAGCAGCCAUUUCACCCUCUCUGCCCUGGUUAAAUUAAUGUCCUUUGCAAACACAGGUUUUAUAAAUCAGUCCCUUGGGUCCAUGGGCAUAACCAAGGCAGGCGGGGGGGGGGGCAGCUGCCACCCCCAAACAAGUCAAUAAAAAUACUUAACUAACUGAGGUUCUGCACACACCCACACCCAUAAAUCCUGGCUAUGCCCAUGCUUGGGUUUGUGUGGGCAUCGCAAUAAGUAAUGGCAUAAUUAUAUGUCCUCCAUGCAUGGUUGCCCCCAGGGAGUCUUUCCUCGCAGCAUAUUUUACUGUACUGUCCGUCCAGAAGCACUGAAGGCAUCGACGGGAAGCACAGCUCUGUAAAGGUGAUUCUUUACAGGGCAGACAAAAGAUUUUUCAAAUAACUAGCUCGAAAGUUCACAGAUUUAAUAAGUGGAAACCAUGGUGAGCACUUCGAGAAAGUAAUAAAAGUCCGGCCUCUUUCUGCCUCAGACCCAAAGAGCCAAUCCCUCAAAUGUCUCCCAUCCAUGUUCUCCUGUAGAUGGUAUUGGGUCAGGCAGUCUUGGAUACCCAUUUGGGAAUAAAAAUAGGCCCCUGAAAAUUAGAAAUCCAUGGGAAGUUUUUCAACAUCAAAAUAGAUAGGCCUAAGUAUCAUUUAAGUGCAAAGAGUUAUGUGCAUAACAGCAUAAUACGUAAACCGUGAGAACCUUUCAUUACUUAAUCUAAACUUGAUAGGCCCACAUUAUGCAGAUCAUUGGCAGUUUACCUGGUGCCCUCUAGAAGUUGCUGGCCUACAACUCCCAUGAUCUCUGAUCAUUGAGUCUGCUGGCUGGGGCUGAUGGGAAUUGUAAUCCUGCGACAUCUGGAGGUAGUCACAUUGGCUACUGUGAUGCAGGUUAACUAAGCUUUCUUUUUACACAUAAAAAUAUACUGUAAGAAAGAGUGAAAGAGCAAGAGAUUUAGCUUUUGGAUAUUCCAGAUAUAAACUUAUUAUGGAGGCCCUGGGGCUCUAGAACCUGCUUUCUUAAAAUUAAUGGAAUGCUUAAUACAAAUGAUAGAAACAGGUUUCAUAAGAUUAUUUUGAAAAGACUAUCCUCAGUUCAAUCCAUUUAUGAAUGCAAACAUUAAGUAGAAAUAUAAAUAAGUUUCCUAAUAGAGAUGCAUUAAGUUAAGAGAAUCACUUUCAUUGUGAGAACAUGGUUUAAUUCUCAUUGAAAUCUUUCAUGCAACUUCAGCAGACCAUUGUGCCAUUAUAUAUAAUAAAGUAAUUAAUACAGAAUCAUAGAAUUAGAGUUGGAAGGGACCCCAAGAGCCAUCUAGUCCAACCCCUUGCAAUGAAGGAAUCCAGCCCACAGCUGUCCCUGGGUGAGCUCAAACCACCAACCUUCUGGUUAACAGCCAGACACAAUGACCCAUUGUCUUCUGAAGACUCUUUUAUUUACGUUUUUGUCUUUGUACCCAAUAAAAGGAGCACAUAUAAAUUGAAAAUCUGGUAGGAACCUUUUCAGAAAUGGCAUAAAAACUUUGUGAGACAGACACAUGCACACUUUUCAUUGCAUAACUAGGAUUCUAUAGAGCAUGCUUGGCAAACUCGCCCCUCCAGAUGUUUGGGACUACAACUCCCAUCAUCCCUAGCUAACAGGACCAGUGGUCAGGGAUGAUGGGAGUUGUAGUCCCAAAACAUAUAGAGGGCCGAAUUUGCCUAUGCCUGCUAUAGAGGCUGACCAGGUAACUUUUUCAGCUAUAUGAAAGAACAGUUGUAGAUAAAUCACUUCUGUCAUUGUACACAUACUUAUGUAUGUGUCAGGUACCAUCUUUGGUCAAACCAGUUUUGCAAGCUUUAAAAAGCAACAUGUGCUCUAGGAAAGGCAAAGCUACCAAGAAUAUAGUGCCUGCUUUUUUGUUAAACAGAAAGUGUCGUGUAACCCUGCACCCUUAUUACUGGAAGUCCUAUCUACCUUUCUUUCUUUCUUUCUUUCUUUCUUUCUUUCUACCUAUGAAUUGAUAUAAAAUUAAUAGAAAUUGUAUAUAACUGGGGAGUUUGUUUUAGGGUAACAUUUGACCAAUGUAUAUGGCUGUCUCAUUGCCCCUGAUCUGUCAGAGAAGAUUUUGAGUUUCCCCCAACCAAAGAUGUAGUCUGGGCUAGAGUUUGAAAUUCCGCAGUAUAUCUAGUCAUUUUGAGGUGGCUCACCCCUUGGCCCUACCAAUAAGAAUAAAGGAUGUGACUGGCUCACUACCCACACCCAAUAAGAGCAGGCCCUUGUCAUGGCGUGGUGGGUUCAUUCUGCUCACAUGUCCAUCAUGUACGUACUUUUCUCCACCUACUAGCCCCAUGUGACAGCUUGACCAAUAGUAGCACAUAUUUUAAUUUAGUUUGUAGAAGUACACUUAUGGGACAACGCUAUACAUGUCAUGGAUAAGAACCCAAAUAAUAAGAAGUGCAUGCUUCCACUUUAAACUGCCGUGUGUACACAGCCCAAUUUAGGAAUGUGGCUUGCCUGGGUUUUUCAGAUACGUAGAUGGAAACUCUCCACAGCAGUAUGAAAACAGCAUGCUGUGAAGACUAUAGUUCUGUCCAAUAUUAUGCAGGAGUGGCAGGUGAUGAAAACAGAGGAAAAGCAAGUUAUUUUCUUUCUAGUUUCCAAUCCUUACUUAACAGUAAGCCAUUGCCAUGACUACCACAGAGACCCUGGGGUCACAGUAAAAACACUGCAUGCCACUCAAUUCUAUCCAUACUUACUCAAAUCUCAUUGAUCUCAACAGGGCCUAAAGGUAAAGGGACCCCUGACCGUUAGGUCCAGUCGUGGACAACUCUGGGGUUGCAGCACUCAUCUCGCUUUAUUGGCCAAGGGAGCCGGCGUACAGCUUCCGGGUCAUGUGGCCAGCAUGACUAAGCCACUUCUGGCGAACCAGAGCAGCGCACGGAAACGCCAUUUACCUUCCCGAUGGAGUGGUACCUAUUUAUCUACUUGCACUUUGACGUGCUUUUGAACUGCUAGGUGGGCAGGAGCAGGGACCGAACAACGGGAGCUCACCCCGUUGCAGGAAUUCAAAUCUCCGACCUUCUGAUCGGCAAGCCCUAGGCUCUGUGGUUUAGACCACAGCGCCAUCCGCUUCCUAGUAAAUCUGCAUAGGACUGCGGUGCUGGGUAGUAAAUUAUGGGAAGGAUUGAAAGUUUAAAAGGUACUAGAAUUCAGGGGUGUCCACUUGAAUUGAACAGUGAUAGGUUGAUGUGAACCAAAAUAAGCAUAUAUCUUCAAACAAUGCAUGAUUAUUUUCCAAAAAUUAACAUUGACUUUUGAGUAAACAUGCAUGGUAUUGGAGUGCACAUCAAAACCAUUAGCCAUGGUGCCUAAAUGGAAUCUCCAUCUUUAUAGGAAUACGUGUCUAAAAAUUAUUGAUUUAGACCAACAAUUGAUUUUCAGCAUCAACCAAUCAUAUGUCUCUGUAGUUUGCAUGCAGAAUAUGAAGAGGAUGCCAUUCCCAGUUACUUGUUCCUAGCAUUUGGUAAACAAACUGCAUUCUGUUAAAUCCUGGUGUUCCUUGGAAACUGAUCAAGUGUUCCUUUAUUCCUGCAUUGCAGGGGGUUGGAUUAGAUGACCCUCAGGAUUCCUUUCAACUCUACAGUUCUAUGCUUCUAUGAGAAGAUCUGUAGUGGACAGUUUGUUUACACACCACUACUGAUCUAAAAUCUGGAUUUGUAGGGCGUGUCGAGUAUGCUUUAGGGUAAGAUUACCAGAUUUUUUUCCCCAAUGAAUCUGGGGACACUUUUCAACUUCAAUGGCUUUUGUAUAGGGACUGAUUUGUAAAUCUGGGGACUGUCCCCAGGAAACGGGGACGUCUGGUAACCUUAUCUUAGGGUGCACUUUCAAUGAAAAAUUGGGAGAUUUUGUAAGGCACAGGAUUCAUUGGCAGACAAGAAAAUCAGUCAAAGUCUGCUGUGUUUAGAUUGUGAAGUAUUGUAGUUAGUUGCCGAAUUGUUUUGCAUAUCCAGGAGUCCAUCAGCUGGAGGAAAAAAGAGCCAGGCAAGAUGCUGGAAAAAGACUCUGCAACAGUUGAAGGCUGCAGCCAUAGAUGAAGAAGCACUCCUUUUAGCAGGAAUACAGAAACAAUAGCCCUCCAUAGAUGAAGACGCACUCCUUUUAGCAGAAGUACAGAAACAGUAGCCCUCCAGAGGUUGGAGUCAGCAUAGCAAACAGACAAGGAUGAUGCACUAAAGUGAUAUGUAGAGGGUCACAGGUUCCCCAAUCACAUUUUAUAUACUAACCUAUGUAUACCCAUGAAAGAUAAAGUACAGGUGAAAUACAAAUGUGGAAGCCCAUGCUGGAAGGAAAUAAUUUGAAAGGGAACCAUCCACAAGCAGGAGCAAUGUUUGCAGAGAAAUCCUUUGUAGGCUUCUUGGUCUCAUUUGAACCAACACAGCCCAAUGUUAGAAUGUUGGACCACGACAAAGAGGACUAAAAGUUCAAAUCCCCACUCAGCCAUGAAACUUAGUGGGUUGUCAUGGGCCAUUUACAUAAAAUGGGGGAGGGGGGCAUGUGCAUCACCUUGAAGAAAAGCAGGAUGUGAAUGUAAUUUGAGCAACAGAGAGGGAGAGGUCUUCCAGUGGCAGCAAACAGGAAGCCCACAGCUUACAGGAGAAAAAUAGCCAGAGGAAUCCAACUCUUAGUAUUUGAAGUCUUUACCAGUAUAAGUACCUAGGAUGAGGGACAGAAAUGAGGGUUAUACGGAAAAGCUUUGCUAAUCUAAUAGGAUAUACCCUCAGAUGUGACCAGCCUUACAACCACAGUUUGGACCAUAGUGCUAGGCAGAAACUGUUCCAAUAAGUGAGCAGCAAAAAAGAAAAAAGAAAGAAUGAGAAUUUGAUCAGAAUGUCCAUUUGAUAUUCAUGGGAAAUGUUUCUCCAGACCCUUUGCUAAGCAGCAGGAAUCUCUACAGACCUGGGAUUUUACUCAGCUUUAGGACAAAGAGAAGCACAGCUCAAGAGGGAUUAAAUUUUAUGAUUAUUUAGGAAAGAUAAUAAAUUUCUUCUAAAAGGUUCUAUCUGCUAUAGUCUUCUAUUUAUUUAGG